UACUAUCCCGAUAGAAUAGAGGGCUCAGAAGAGCAGAACCCGGAAACAGCGGCCCUAACCCGUCGCGGCGAUCUAGUCCCACAGCGGACGCCUGCGGAAUACUUCUUGCAGCAAACACUUCCUCACAAGUCACGCCCUCGAGUGCGCCCAUUGGUCAACUCAUGUGCCGCCCGCGUCCCUAAGCGAUCCUAUUGGCUUUCUCUGGCGGCACAGACAAAAGGAUCGGCGGCGGCCGGUGCUGAUUGGGCGAAGCGCGGGGCACGGCUCUGGCCACCGCGCUGGAUUGGGGGGGCUGCGGCGGGCGGAGGUGGGGCGGUGGGGGCGGGGCGCCCCGGAGGGCGGCGGCUGCGGGGCGUCAGGAGCCUGCUUGUCCCUCCACCCUGCACCCCUCCCGCCCCGGGGUUCCUGCCCGGACCGCGGCCGCCUCUUCUUCCCGAAGGCUCCGUGUCAGUCUCCGCGGCGGGCCCGCCAAUCCGGGAACGCUGGAGUCCGGACGCAGAAGGCUGGGGCGAGCCUGCAGCUGGAUCCGCAGGUCCGCACCCCAUGCUCCGCUUCGGGGGCCGAAGUCCAGCCCGGACCCGCGGGGACCUUCUGCGCGGAUCGCGGGCGGGAGGUGCGGCACCCGCCAAGGCAGGCCAGGUCUCCGGCUUCUUGCGCUUUCUGGAGAGUUGGCUCGGCGGGUGCGUCGCCGGGGAGGGAGGGACGGGCCGUGUGGCCACUAGCCGGGUAGGGAGUGGCUUCGAGGGGCCCCUCGCCAGCGGAAGGCCUGCGAGGCCGCCCUCGGAGCACCGCCAGGAUUUUAAGAUGGAAGUUUGCUUGUGGAGGUUUCGUUGGAAGACUGUUUCAGAAGAGCAAAAUGGUCCCAGCUGUGUGGGAAUUUGGAAACUACCCUCCAGCAGUCCCGGCCCAGGUCCACAGGAAUAUUUUCUGCAGUCUGGACUAGGAGGAAAGUGACACCCCGGCUCAUCUCGAACGGUGGCUUCUGAGUUGGGGAGAAAAGGACCCAGGCCUGGAAAGGAACCUCUUGGGGCAAAGCGCGCAGCCCGUGUGACCACCUUCCUUCCGCGAACCAAAACCCCAGGCACCGUCUUCUCCGGGUCCCGCGUAGAGCGCGGGGCGCAGUCCCGCGUCCACCAAAGCCCUGCCCCUCAUUUCUUCCAAAAUAAAACAAGCCAUAAGGCUCUCGACUACAGUGGAAAGGGCGCUGCAGAUUUAUGACCCCCCAAAUUCCCCACACUCUAAUUAUCCCUGUUUUUAUUUGACUUAUGAGUACUAACCAAUAAAAUCAUUUUUCAUUUUGGAUUACUUUUUCAUCCAAAGCGAAAAUCCAAAUUUCGCUCCUCUUUUACUCUUUGGGGGUGGGGGAGGAUACUUUUCUGAACCUGGAAAAAAGAAACUUGUCGGAGGCUGAGCCACCUAUUCCCCCCUUCCCACAGCCUCCUUAAUUUCAAUUUGGGGUUAAUUUUUUGUUUGUG
rnacentral:lncRNA from 1 species